rnacentral:rRNA from 1 species
AUUGAACGCUGGCGGCAGGCCUAACACAUGCAAGUCGAGCGGAUGAAGGGAGCUUGCUCCUGGAUUCAGCGGCGGACGGGUGAGUAAUGCCUAGGAAUCUGCCUGGUAGUGGGGGAUAACGUCCGUAAACGGGCGCUAAUACCGCAUACGUCCUGAGGGAGAAAGUGGGGGAUCUUCGGACCUCACGCUAUCAGAUGAUCCUAGGUCGGAUUAGCUAGUUGGUGGGGUAAAGGCCUACCAAGGCGACGAUCCGUAACUGGUCUGAGAGGAUGAUCAGUCACACUGGAACUGAGACACGGUCCAGACUCCUACGGGAGGCAGCAGUGGGGAAUAUUGGACAAUGGGCGAAAGCCUGAUCCAGCAAUGCAGCGUGUGUGAAGAAGGUCUUCGGAUUGUAAAGCACUUUAAGUUGGGAGGAAGGGCAGUAAGUGAAUACCUUGCUGUUUUGACGUUACCAACAGAAUAAGCACCGGCUAACUUCGUG